rnacentral:rRNA from 1 species
ACAACUUUUAACAACAGAUCUCUUAGUUCUAGCAUUAAUAAAGAACGCAGCGAAAUGCGAUAAGUAGUGUAAAUUAUAGAAUUUAGUAAAUUAUUAAAUCUUUAAACGCAUAUUGCGCCCCUUAGUAUUCUAUAGGGCAUGCCUGUUUAAGCGUUAUUUGUACCCUUAAGCUCUGCUUAGUGUUAGGUGUUUGUUCUACUUAGGACUUGCCUUAAAACAAUUAGUAGCUAGCACAUUAGCCUAGAGCGCAGCACAUUUUGCGCCUCUUGUUAUAGUUGUUAGCAUCUAUUAAGACACUUUUUAAGCUCUUAACCUUAGAUUAGGUAGGGAUACCCGCUAAACUUAAGCAUAUUAAUAAGCGGAGGAAAAGAAACUAAUAGGGAUUGCCCUAGUAACGGCAAGUAAAGCGGCAACAGCUUAAAUUUAAAAUCUAGCUCUUUUAGGGUCUAAGUUGUAAUUUGCAGAGGGCGCUUUAGCGUUAGUAGCAGUCUAAGUUCCUUAGAACAGGACGUCACAGAGGGUAAGAAUCCUGUACGUAGUUACUAGCCUUCGCUGUGUAAAGCCCCUUUAACAAGUUAAGUUAUUUAGGAAUGUAGCUCUAAAUAGGAGGUAAAUUUCUUCUAAAGCUAAAUACUAGCUAGAGACUAAUAGCGCAUAAGUAGAGUAAUUAAAAGAUAAAAAGCACUUUAGAAAGAGAGUUAAAUAGCACGUAAAAUUAUUAAAAGGGAAGCGCUUGCAGCUAGACUUGCCUAUAGUUACUUAUCUAGGCUUUUGUCUAGUGCACUCUUCUAUAGGCAGGCUAGUAUUAGUUUAGGCAGUUAGAUAAAGGUCUCUAUUACGUACCUCCCUUUAGGGAGGCCUUAUAGGGGAGACAACAUGCAACUAGCCUAGACUAAGGUCCGCGUAUCUGCUAGGAUGCUAGCGUAAUAGCUGUAAGUGGCCUAUCUUAAAACACAGACUAAGGAGUCUAACAUCUAUGCGAGUGUUUAGGUGUUAAGCCUAGACGCGUAAUAAAAGUAAAUAGAGGUGGGACCCCUUUUAGGGUGCACUAUUAACUAAUCCUAAUAUCUUUAGAAGGAUUUAAGUAAGAGCAUAGCUAUUAGGACCUAAAAGAUAGUGAACUAUGCUUAAAUAGGGUAAAGCUAGAGGAAACUCUAGUAGAGGCUCGCAGUGGUUCUAACGUGCAAAUCAAUCGUUAAAUUUAGGUAUAGGGGCGAAAGACUAAUCAAACUAUCUAGUAGCUAGUUCCUACUAAAGUUUCCCUUAGGAUAGCAGUAACGUAUUUAGUUUUAUAAGGUAAAGCGAAUAAUUAGAGGCCUAGGGGUUAAAAUAACCUUUACCUAUUCUUAAACUUUAAAUAUAUAAGAAGUCCUUGUUACUUAAUUAAACGUAGAUACUUAAAUAUACUAUUACUAGUAGGCCAUUUUUAGUAAGUAGAACUAGCGAUAUAGGAUAAACUAAACAUAGGGUUAAGGUGCUAGAAUGCACGCUUAUUAGACACUACAAAAGGUGUUAGUUUAUCUAGAUAGUAGGACAGUAGCUAUAGAAGUUAGAAUCUGCUAAGGAGUGUGUAAUAACUUACCUGCUAAAUAAACUAGCCCUAAAAAUAGAUGGCGCUUAAGCGUGUUACCUAUACCCCGCCGCUAGGGCAAGAUUUAAGCCCUAGCGAGUAGGUAGGCGUAGAGGCUCGUGACAAAGCCUUAGGGGUAACCCUAGGUAGAACGGCCUCUAGUGCAGAUCUUAGUAGUAGUAGCAAAUACUUAAAUAAGAACUUUAAGGACUAAAGUAGGGAAAGGUUCUGUGUAAACAGCAGUUAGACACAGGUUAGUUAAUCCUAAGAGAUAGGGUAAUUCUAUUUUAAUGUUGGCGCUUGCGCCGCGUCCUUAAAAGGGAAGCUAGUUAAUAUUCUAGCACCUAGAUGUAGAUUCUCCGCAGCAACGCAACUAAGAGCAGAGACCUUAGCGGGAGCCCUAAGAAGAGUUCUCUUUUCUUCUUAACAGUCUGUCACCCUAAAAUUAGUUUGUCUAGAGCUAGGGUUUAAUAGCUAGAAAAGCGCUGCACUUUUAUAGUAUUUAGUGCGCUCCUAACAAGCCUUAAAAAUCUGCUUAAAGAAAUAGUUUUUACGCUAGGUCGUACUUAUAACUACAGCAGGUCUCUAAGGUAAAAAGCCUCUAGUUAAUAGAACAAUAUAGAUAAGGGAAGUUAGCAAAAUAGAUCUAUAACUUUAGGAAAAGGAUUAGCUCUAAGGGUUAGGUACGUUAGGCCUUAGGGAGAAGCCUCUAGCGCAGAAGGGCACUAACUGCAAGGUAGGCGCCUCUUAGCGCUAGGGUGCAGACACCCUUAGCAGGUUUUGGCUGUCUAGCGUACGUUUAACAACUAACUUAGAACUAGUAUAGAUAAGAGGAAUCUAACUAUCUAAUUAAAAUAUAGCAUUGUAAUAGCUAGAAAGUAGUGUUAACGUAAUGUGAUUUCUGCCUAGUACUCUAAAUAUUAAAGCAAAGAGAUUUGACUAAGCGCGGGUAAAUAGCAGGAGUAACUAUAACUCUCUUAAGGUAGCUAAAUGCCUUGUUAUCUAAUUAGUAACGCGCAUAAAUAGAUUAACAAGAUUCCUACUAUCCCUAUCUACUAUCUAGCGAAACUACAGCUAAGGGAACAGGCUUGGCUAAAUUAGCAGGGAAAGAAGACCCUAUUAAGCUUAACUCUAGUUUAACAUUAUAAAAAGAUAUAGGGGGUGUAGAAUAGGUAGGAGCUUUAGCGCUAGUAAAAUACUACUACCCUUAUCGUUUUUUUACUUAUUCAAUAAAGCAGAGCUAGGCCUCACCGCCUAACUUCUAGCGUUUAAGGUCCUUUAUAGGCUAAUCUAGGUUAAAGACAUUGUUAGGUAGGGAGUUUAGCUAGGGUAGCACAUCUAUUAAACUAUAACGCAGGUGUCCUAAGGGGGACUUAUAGAGAAUAGAAAUCUCUAGUAGAGCAAAAGGGUAAAAGUCCCCUUAAUUUUAAUUUUUAGUGUAAAUACAAACUAUAAAAGUGUAGCCUAUUAAUCCUUUAGUCCCUUAAAAUUUAAGGCUAGAGGUGCUAGAAAAGUUACCACAGGGAUAACUAGCUUGUGGCAGCCAAGCGUUUAUAGCGACGUUGCUUUUUAAUCCUUUAAUAUUAGCUCUUCCUAUUAUACCAAAGUAGAAUUUAGUAAGCGUUAGAUUGUUCACCUACUAAUAGGGAACGUAAGCUAGGUUUAGACCGUCGUAAGAUAGGUUAGUUUUACCCUACUAAUAACCUUGCCCUAAUAGUAAUACCGCUUAGUACAAGAGGAACCGCAGUUUUAGAUAAUUGGUUUUUGCGGCUGUCUAACUAGGCAUUACCGCGAAGCUACUAUCUGCUAGAUUAUAGCUAAACGCCUCUAAGUCAGAAUCCAUACUAGAAUAGGGUAAUUUCCGCCUGCACUAGUUAGAUACAAAUAGGCCUUUGGCCUAGAACCUUACUAGAUUAGCGUUAGCAGCCCUAUUAAAGUUAGAGUUAUUAGCUAGUAUAUUGCAAUUGUAUAGUGCGCAGGAU